CGAGAGGCCCGGAAGGGAAGGGACGAGGCCGGGGCGUUGAGAAGUUCUGGAGACUGGAAGUCCAGGAUCAAUAUGCUGGCAGAGUUGGUGUCUGGGUCAGAGCCAAGAAGUCAAUGAAGGUGACUGUCUCAUGGAGAGUGACUUGGAGCCAAAGAGCCUGCCUUGCACCACCUCCACCCCUAACUACUGGUCAACACUAACGAGUGCUUGCUCUGUCCAGCACUGUUCUAACCACAUACAAUCCUCACAGCUGCUG